GACGAACGCUGGCGGCGUGCUUAACACAUGCAAGUCGAACGAUGAAGCCUAGCUUGCUAGGUGGAUUAGUGGCGAACGGGUGAGUAAUACGUGAGUAACCUACCUUUAACUCUGGGAUAAGCCUGGGAAACUGGGUCUAAUACCGGAUACGACCAAUCUCCGCAUGGGGUGUUGGUGGAAAGCGUUAUGUAGUGGUUAUAGAUGGGCUCACGGCCUAUCAGCUUGUUGGUGGGGUAACGGCUCACCAAGGCGACGACGGGUAGCCGGCCUGAGAGGGUGACCGGCCACACUGGGACUGAGACACGGCCCAGACUCCUACGGGAGGCAGCAGUGGGGAAUAUUGCACAAUGGGCGCAAGCCUGAUGCAGCGACGCCGCGUGAGGGAUGACGGCCUUCGGGUUGUAAACCCCUGUUAGCAGGGAAGAAGAGAGAUUGACGGUACCUGCAGAGAAAGCGCCGGCUAACUACGUGCCAGCAGCCGCGGUAAUACGUAGGGCGCGAGCGUUGUCCGGAAUUAUUGGGCGUAAAGAGCUUGUAGGCGGUUUGUCGCGUCUGCUGUGAAGGCCGGGGCUUAACCCCGUGUAUUGCAGUGGGUACGGGCAGACUAGAGUGCAGUAGGGGAGACUGGAAUUCCUGGUGUAGCGGUGGAAUGCGCAGAUAUCAGGAGGAACACCGAUGGCGAAGGCAGGUCUCUGGGCUGUAACUGACGCUGAGAAGCGAAAGCAUGGGGAGCGAACAGGAUUAGAUACCCUGGUAGUCCAUGCCGUAAACGUUGGGCACUAGGUGUGGGGGACAUUCCACGUUUUCCGCGCCGUAGCUAACGCAUUAAGUGCCCCGCCUGGGGAGUACGGCCGCAAGGCUAAAACUCAAAGAAAUUGACGGGGGCCCGCACAAGCGGCGGAGCAUGCGGAUUAAUUCGAUGCAACGCGAAGAACCUUACCAAGGCUUGACAUAUACUGGACCGCAUCAGGGAUGGUGUUUCCCUUCGGGGCUGGUAUACAGGUGGUGCAUGGUUGUCGUCGGCUCGUGUCGUGAGAUGUUGGGUUAAGUCCCGCAACGAGCGCAACCCUCGUUCUAUGUUGCCAGCACGUUAUGGUGGGGACUCAUAGGAGACUGCCGGGGUCAACUCGGAGGAGGGUGGGGAUGACGUCAAAUCAUCAUGCCCCUUAUGUCUUGGGCUUCACGCAUGCUACAAUGGCUGGUACAGAGGGUUGCGAUACUGUGGGGUGGAGCUAAUCCCUAAAAGCCGGUCUCAGUUCGGAUUGGGGUCUGCAACUCGACCCCAUGAAGUCGGAGUCGCUAGUAAUCGCAGAUCAGCAACGCUGCGGUGAAUACGUUCCCGGGCCU
rnacentral:rRNA from 1 species